AUACGUAGGGGGCGAGCGUUGUCCGGAAUGAUUGGGCGUAAAGGGCGCGUAGGCGGCCUGUUAAGUCUGGAGUGAAAGUCCUGUUUUCAAGAUGGGAAUUGCUUUGGAUACUGAUGGGCUUGAGUGCAGGAGAGGUUAUCGGAAUUCCCGGUGUAGCGGUGAAAUGCGUAGAGAUCGGGAGGAACACCAGUGGCGAAGGCGGGUAACUGGACUGCAACUGAAUCUGAGGCACGAAAGUGUGGGGAGCAAACAGGAUUAGAUACCCUGGUAGUCCACACUGUAAACGAUGAAUGCUAGGUGUAAGAGGUAUCGACCCCUUCUGUGCCGCAGUCAACACAAUAAGCAUUCCGCCUGGGGAGUACGGCCGCAAGGUUGAAACUCAAAGGAAUUGACGGGG
rnacentral:rRNA from 1 species